rnacentral:piRNA from 1 species
UUCCUCAAAACACUUGUUUCUCUGCAGGAA